rnacentral:rRNA from 1 species
GUCCUAGCCGUAAACGUUGGGUGCUAGGUGUGGGGGGACAUCGACCCCCUCCGUGCCGAAGCUAACGCAUUAAGCACCCCGCCUGGGGGAGUACGGCCGCAAGGCUAAAAACUCAAAGGAAUUGACGGGGCCCCCGCACAAGCGGCGGAGCAUGUUGCUUAAUUCGAUGCGACGCGAAGAACCUUACCUGGGCUUGACAUGCAGGGUGAAACCCGUGAAAGCGGGCGCUCUUCGGAGCCUGCACAGGUGGUGCAUGGCUGUCGU